rnacentral:lncRNA from 1 species
GCUCACCCUACGGUAGUCCUCCACCCGUUGCAGCUGGCUCUCCUGACAGAUGCAAAGGUUUAGGAAAUUCUGCCACUCCAUCUUGAGGGCCUCCUGGUGGACCUGGAGCACGGCAGGGUGAACGCUGAAAUCCCGCUACACCCACCAGUUCCCUAGGCUGAAAUCCCGCUACACCCACCAGCUCCCUACGCUGUCUGGGGAGCACAGGGAAAGGGGUGGGGCGUAGGGGCGGGACCCCACACCUGGAUGGGCCCAAUGGCCGGGUGCCCAAGCUCCACCAUGCGAUCUGCGUCAUCUUCCAGCUGGUUUAUGCUCCGCUCCUGGGCCAGCAGCUCAUGCUGCUUGAAGUGCUGAGGACGAUUGAAGCGAGACGGCCAUGAGCAAGAAGAUGGCCCGAGACACCCCCGCUGCCCGGGCCUGAGCCUGUCCCCACAGACCUCAUACUCUCGCCUCACGCCAGCGGGGUCCGGCAUGAGGUCACUCCAAUCCUGCUGCAGGAUGCGGCCUUGUUGAUCGGCCAGGGCGCUCAGCUGCUUCGUGCAGCCUUGCAGGAUGUUGUGCUCGGCCACCUGCUGUUCCAGCUCUGCCAUCCCAGGCCCAUAGUGGCCCUCACGGACCAGAUUCUGCAGAAGAGCCAGGUCCUCAGCCCUACCAGGAAGGUCUGCGUCCUACAGCCCAGAAAGCCCUCCCACCUCCAUGACCCCCCACAGCCACCUGUGUCCUCCCCACAGCAGGAGAGGCAGAGUGGACAGGCCGGGUAAGCAGCCUGGACGAAUGGCAGCUGUUCCCCAUAGUGGGGACAUGACUGUUCUCAUGCGGCCAUCAGGACUAAGGCUCUGAGUCCCAUUGGUUCCCAGGAUUCAGGCCUCACACUGUACUCGUAGCCCAAGCCUCAGUGACUGCUGCCUGGAUGUGUGCAGCCAGUCCCAGGAACUGCCCCUGCCCACGGUCCCUAGUUGCCAUCACAAUGCAUCAAAGACAACUGCUCAGUGUCCUGUGACUUGGUAUGUCCACUGUCCACUCUACCCCCAAUCCCCCCAGCGGGAGCCUUUUGCUUUCCCAGGAGGCCCCCACUUGUCACUAUGACCCAGCUAAGUCCUUCCAGCCCUCAGUGCCUUCUGGAGGAAGCUUCCCCUCGACGAUCCCUGAGCUACCCCCAGGUUCGAAGUUAAAACUCCAGUAGACACCAUUCUGUCUUGCUCUCUGACUGCACCGGGUGUGGCUCUGAGCCCCUUGAGAACGCAUCCUUGUAUGGCCGCCCCUGACCUGUUUCUGCUCCAACACACGCGCCCAGUCGACCCUGGGCCCCACAUCAGGCGGAAGUACCAUCUUCUCAUACAGAGCACGGUACUCCGAGCACUCCUGGGUCACCCGCUCAUGCAGCUGCUUGAUGCUGCCAAGGAAGAGCCGCCAGCCUGUGGGUGCUUGAGCCGCCGCGCCUUGUCUACAUCCAGGAAGAGAUCUUUGAGGAGUACCUCCGCUUCCUUCAGGUUGCGGCCAGUCUCCUGCUGGUGUUGUAAAGCCUGGUUCUGCUCACCAUUCUGCCGAUCCUGGUGAGACAUGACCCACGUGCAGGGCUCAGAGGCUCACAACUUCCCCAAUGUUCUCUCUGACCUGGCCCUGCUGGACUGAGCUCUCCCCACCAGGCCCUGGGACUAGUUGGACCACCCCACCUUGGGGAUCACCAAGCAGAAGGCUAGGGCAUCCAUAUAGCAGGUGGCAAGGACACCUAGGUCAGCUGUCACACUAAACCCCGUUUCUCACUUUGGCUGAGGCAGGAUGCAAAAUGUCCCUCUAUUUGACCCCUAAAGCAGGGAGCAGGGUGCAGAAGGAAAGCCCUCCCUUCGGCUGUGGUGGGCUGUGGACAGAUCUCUCUUCACAGGAGACCCUCUGGGGACUCUCUGGCGUUGACCCUGGGGCUCCAUGCCCCUCCCUUCCUGUCCUGACAGAGUCCUUACCUGUUGCAGCUUCUUCUGCGUCUCCAAAAUGUCUCUUUCCACCUGGUCAGCGUUGGCUUGCAUGCGGGAGAUGAGCAGAGCCAGUUCCUGGGUUGCAGCCCUGGUGGAUUGUCCGGGCCAGAGGACAGCAAUCAUGGAAAGGCCCUCUGUGCCAGCCAUGUAGGACCCGCUCCCCCAUCCCCCACCCCGACCUUCCACAGAGUAAAGUCCAUGGUCUGAGCUCUGAGAGGCUCAGCCUUAGAUGGAGGACGAGGGUACCGUCCCCUGUAGAGGGUUUAGAAGGUGAGAGUCUAGGACUCUGUGGGGCUACAAAGCAUGCAUACCUCAGGUCCUCCAAGACCUGCCCAAUGCCUGCCUGCUUCCUGGGUUGGUGGCAGGUGGCCCAGAGAGAAAGGAAAUUACCUAGGACGGCCUAUCUGGCUUCAGGAGAGGCAAAGUGCUAACUGACCUGAGGCCAGGGAGUAAAGGCAAAUCCCCAGCCUCAGCUUCUCCCCAACCCUGCCUUGUCCGCUUCCACCGCUCUUCUUGCCCAAGGGGCUUCAGCAGUAAGGAGAUUUUAGUGACUCCCUGGAGGAACCAGGCAGGGAGAGGCCAAGAGAUGGUUGGGGUGCCCCAGUAUCCUCCUGCUGACUUAGUGACCCCGAGGAAGCCUGUUGCUCGGCCCCCAAGCUUCUCGCCCAUGCAGCUUUCAGAGGUCCUACUGUGUGCCUGCGCUCUGGGGGUGUGAAUCAGGCUGCAGCUUUCAGAGUUCCUACUGUGUGCCUGAGCUCUGGGGGUGUGAAUCAGGCAGACCUGAACACAACACCCUGCAGGAGUCACACUCCCUCCGGGCCGCAGGGAAGUGUGAGUGCCAGUGAAGAGAAUUGUCUGACUAAGUCUGUGGCCGCGAUGGGUCUGGUCCUUCUUACGAGUACUCAGUACAUAGCCAAGGUUGGCCUGGCUCGGUCAUCCUGCCUCCUCCUCCUCCUCUUCUUCCUCCUUCUGAGGUAUUGAGUCCAUAGGCAUAUGCUACCACAUUUGGGUUUACUUAUUUAAUUUUUUUUUUUUUUACCUUAAAAAGACAAACAACAGUAGGGCAGUGGUGGCGCCCCCGCCUUUUAUCCCAGCACUCGGGAGGCAGAGGCAGGAGCAUUUCUGUGAGUUUGAGGCCAGCCUGGUCUACAGAGUGAGUUCUACACAGAGAAACCCUGUCUCAAACAAACAAACAAACAAACAAAAUAAAAAAUACUCUUCCCCUCCCCCAAACAACAAGAACCCACAACAACUAAGUCUUAUUCUAUAUCCCAGGCUGGCCUGGAACAUACUGUGUUGUCCAGGCUGGACUACCAAGUUCUGGAUUACUGGUGUGGGACAUGGGUUCUUUAAUAUCUUCAGCACAGGUUUUGUUCUGCUUCUAUGAGACAGGCUCUCACUAUGUACCCUUGGCUAGCUCAGACUCACUAUAUAGCCCAGGCUAGCCUCAAAUUCAUAGAGAUUGCCUGCCUGAGCCUUGAGUGCUAGGAUUAAAGUUGGCCUGUGCCACCAUGUCUGGCGCUGAGCACAAAGGUCUCCUAGGUACUUAAAGAAUUAAGCCAUGGGAAGCAGCCAGCUCAGUGCCUUGGAGUCAGCACCCAGUAUGUAUCAUUUUAUUUUUAUGUGUACGGAUGUUUUGCCUAAAUGUAUGUCUGUGUAUCAUGUGUGCGUCUGAUGCCUGUGGAGACCAGAACAGGAUUCCCUGGACCUGAAGAUGAAUGUAGAAGCUGGGAAUUGAUCAGAGGUCCUCUGGAAUAGCCAGUGCUCUUAGCCAUUAAGCCAUCUCUCCAGGCCCCAAUCUCACUGUGUGGCCCUAGCUGGCCUAGCCUCCAACACACAGAUCCGCUAGUCUCUGCCUCUGUCUGGAGUGCUGAGAUUAAAGGCAACGUGUUAAUUUUUAUUGUACGGAAGCGAGCACUUUCAAGGUAGGGAUGCCAGUGUUUUGCUGGCUAGGGCAUUCCCAGAGGCUAGGGCAGUCUGGGCAUAAAGAAGAGCUCAAGGAGUUGACACCUCUGAGGGGAACAAGGAGCCCUCAGCAGGACGUGUGAAUGAAGUUACAGGAGUCUGGGACUGGGACCAGGACGCUUCUGGGACUCCAGGGAGAGCCCAGCCUCAGGUUGGGCCUCCUGACAGAGAUGCUUCUGCUGGGAGCUAUGCACCCCACCCUGGGCUGGGCGCAGUGCCUCAGGGAGACAGGUCACUGCAGUGAGAGUCUUAAGCACUGUCUUUCCUGUUGGCCCAGAUGCCCAGCCUCUGGGUUGGCACCCUGAUCACUGUCGAGGUAAUGGGUACCUGGAUCUUUGCCUUUCAUCUACACUCUUAUCUUGACACCUCUGCACCCCGACCGACACCUGAAUCCAGGCAGGCUGCCAUCUCCUAGAGAGGGCUUGGGGCCAGUGAGUGGGAUGAACGUGGUCAGUUCUCUCUGCAGAGAGCCACUGAUCAGAGCAUGGCACCACCACCUCCUGUCACCCCCAUGAGAAAGGCCUCCUGACUCUUGAAGGAGACAGACAAGACCCAGGGUUGGGACCUGGGGGGAAAGUGGUUUAGGUGGGGUGUACUCCAGCUCAGAAAGCCCUCUCUCUCUUGAGCCUCUUACUCCUGCCCACCCUGAAUCCACACUCACUCCAAGAUUUAGCCAACCCAAGUGCACCAUCAGGGUUGCGUGCCAAAACAGGGAGCCAGAUUCUGCUGGUCCCAGCCAUCCCGUCCCGCACCUCUGAAAGGGCACCCUUCCCCUGUGCCCCCCAACAUCCCUCAUCCGCAGGAGAAUGUGGGUGGCAGCAGGCUAUCCAUCCCUUGCUCAACCUGGGCCACAGGCAGGAGAGAGGCCCUUGGGCCCUUAGCCUAAGGACACCAAAUGCCAGAACUGAGCUCUGCCGCCAACAGGUAGUUGGAACAUACCUGGGCCCUGCACCACCCUGAUCCCAGCACCGCUACCCAGGGCCCCACUCACCGAUUGUGCUUGUUGGGGGAGCCCUUAGGGGACCCCUUGGCUGGGGAGCCCUUGGGGGACCCCUUCCCCUGGGAGCCUUUGCUCAGCCCCUUGAACAUGGUGGUGAAGCAGGUGCCGGCUCAGGCUGGGCUCUCCUGGGAGGAGGGCGGCGGGAAGGCGACGCGCGUCCUCGCUGGCUACUAGCCGGGCUCUGGGGAGGUGGGGCGGCGGUCGGGGAAGGCAGUUUCUGGGAGGCUCCUCCCUGCAGGUGCGGUGUCUCUGCCAGGCCCGGCCCGCGCAUGCCCCAGCGCCCGCCCCGACGUGCGCAGCCAGCUCCUGCACAACCAGUCUGGGAGGAGAGGGCACAGCCCAGGGGCGGGGCGCCCGUACGACUCCCACGGAGGUUUGGACUUGUUACACCCACAUGCCCAGCCAGAGAGCGGGGAUCACACCCAGGUGGGGAAGUGGCCAGGCUGGAGCAUAGCGAGACAGACUGACUCAAGCACUUGUUCAGGUCCUGGCUCAGCGGGUCCUAGAGCUGGGGUUAGCCAACCUCAAAGGCUCUUGCACAGAGGUCCACUAUCAACCGGGCCCCCACCCAUAGCUCGGCCUGCCAGGAGAGGUGGAGAAGUGGAGAGGUGGGGCCACCCGGGCCUUGCUCUGUCUCCCACGGAGUGCUAGUAGACAUUCACAUCAGACAGCUAUCUUUUUUUUUUCUUUUAAGCUUGAGAGAGGCUUUUGCUCUGUAACCCAAGCUGGCAACCAACCUCCCCGCCUCAGCCUCCCAAGUGCUGUCAUUACAGGUGGGAACCACCAUAACUGCUCUCAAAUCUAUUUUUAAAAUGCGGGUGCCACCCAGCUGGUUCUCCAUGUUCAGAUAGGAACUCAGACUAGCUUCUGAGAGGCCAGGCUACCCAAUGCAUACCUUCUCAAGUCACGACCAGAAUUGAUCAGCCCUGUAGAGGAGCCGCAGGUCUCUGAAGUCCACAAGUACCCUGCUUGUUACUUUGUCUGGUUUCCAGGUAGAAAAGCCACUGACUAGUCCUUGUGGUUUCUACCAAGUCAGACAGACUGUCUGAUGAUCACAUUGUCUUAAGAUUUAGUGGCAUGGGGCUGGAGAGAUGGCUCAGUGGUUAAGAGCACUGACUGCUCUUCCAAAGGUCUUAAGUUCAAUUCCCAGCAACCACAUGGUGGCUCACAACCAUCUGUAAAGGGAUCUGAUGCUCUCUUCGGGUGUGUCUGGAAACAACUAUAGUGUACUCAUAUAAAUAAAUCUUAAAAAAAAAGGGGGGGGGCUGGUGAGAUGGCUCAGUGGGUAAGAGCACCCGACUGCUCUUCCGAAGGUCCAGAGUUCAAAUCCCAGCAACCACAUGGUAGCUCACAACCAUCC